GAUUGUGCCACUGCACUCUAGCCUGGGCAACAGAGUAAGUCUCCAUCUCAAAAAACAAACAAACAAACAAAACUCAAUUUAUCAGGUGGACCUUUCUCAUUUAGCAUGUAAAAUUCCAAAUGGCAUCGUGAGUGACUAUCCUGAGUAUAGAUAUCCCCAUCCCAAAGAUGUUCCUAUUACAUGCAGGAGGGGGAAGCUUCUAAGAUAUGAGAAAGAUCUGCCUGUGUCUCUCACAAGCUACAACUUAGAACUGGCCCUUCAGGGGACAGGGCUUUAUUUCCUUUGUGGCUCCUGGCUACACUUAAUCCUCCCUAGGCACUGGAAGGGAACCUGCACUAUCGUGGCAGUGGUUCCUGACCUGUUAUCUUUAAAUUCCACUGAUAUGGCAGCAUCAUCUGGGGACAUCCCUAGCCUAGCGUCUUUUCUAGUGAGUGUGCUAUCUCAGAUGCGCUGAACAAAGAGGUCUAUCAUUUCCAUGCCCUCAUAUGGAGACUUAACUGAAAGAGAAGAUUGGGUAGGACCUGCACAUGACAAUCCUAUCUCAGAAAAACCAUGGAUAGGGGAUUCUAUAGUCAGAGGCCUAUUCUGGUUUGCUGGUAUUCCUCUCCUUGAAAAAUCAGUACUUAAUAUUUCUAUUAUGAUGCCACAAGGGUAGAAGCUAACAGUAGGAGCCAUAGAAGCACAACAACAAUUCAUAAACUCUUUAGCCUCAGUAGUUAUGCAAAAUAGACAGGCCCUAGAUAUCCUUAUGGCCAAAGUAGGGGGUACCUGUGCACUUUUAAAAAGAAGCAUGUCACUUCUAGAUCAAUACCUCUAGUCAAGUAGAAGAGAAUGUACAGGUGCUUAAAGAUCAAAUUAGAACAUUGACAGAUUAAGAGAGAAUGCGGGCUCCAGUCCCAGUUGGCUACAAUCCCUCUUAAAUGGAUUCCAGUCUUCUUUGUGGAACUGGUUAGCUCCUUUAUUAGGCCCCCUUUUGCUCGUGUGUUUUGUACUAAUGUUUGGACUUUGUAUAUUCAAUACUGUAACUCAAAUUGUUUCCUCUCACUUAGAGGCUAUUAAACUCCAAAUGGUGCUGCAGAUAGAACCACACAUAGACACGCCAUUCUUCUGGGGACCCUUAGACCAAUCUCAGGAGGAGCCCUAACUGCUGUAACCCCAACGACGCCCCCUUCCAGCAGGAAGCAGCCAGGAGUGGUCAUCGUCCACUUUCCCCAACAGCAGUUGGGGUCUCCACUCCUGAAGCAGGGAAUGAGAAAGGAGGAAGGAAGAAACCAGUCAGACAGGCAGUUAGGGUGGGUCCUCGGUAAAAUUCUUCCAAACAAAAGAACAGCUUGAAAAAUCAAACUGCAGGCACAGAGAAGAGAACUUGUACAGGGAGGCUUGCCUUAGACAUGUCCACAGCUGCCUAGGUAAGAAAGACUACACAGGAGACUUGCCCAGAGAUGCCCACAAUGGAAAAUUCCAUUCCCUGAGACAUGCGCAGUAAGGGGAACAAAGCCAUAUGGAGUAACUCAAGCUAAGGGCCUGCAUGCACACUGGGAGGAUAGGGUAGAACUACCAGAAAUUCAUGCUUUAUGCAAAUGAGAUGCCCAGCACUCAUCAAUUUCUUACAAAAGCCUCUGUAUUCAACUGUGAAAUGGCGACACUCUUUUGGGCCCCCUCUUGGCAGUGGGGAGCUUUCUUUUUUCACUUUUUAAAUUUUUGCUCCAACCUCACCUUUGGGGUCCAUGCUCCUUAAUUUUCUUGGUUAUGAGACAAAGAACUUCAGGUGAUACCUUGGGCAAUGAGAGACUGCUACAUUGUGGUGCAUUGGUGAGACUGUAAAACUAUCAGUUUAUUGCUGAUAACCCCAACAUCAGCAAUGAUGCUUAUGGAAAAAGAAAACAAACCCUUUAUGAUCAGCUGGAUCCUUUAGUUGUUUGCAAAGAUGACUCCAAUCCUACACCCUUCCCUGAAUCCAUGUCCAUUGCUGUGUAACUUUGUAGUGCCUCUAACUGUGUGACCUCUUUCAGCCAACUUAAGAAGACAGCAGUGAAGGCGUGCCAGUUCCAAGUGUAAGCCCCAAGAGGUCUUGUGUGUCUUCAUUUGCUUCCUCGUGUGCUUCUAAUGGUGCUGGGAGAAGAACAGGUCGAGACUAGCCUGCUGGAGGAUGAGAGAUGCUGGCUACCACAUCCUUGUUGCUCCAGUGGAGGCCAGGCUAGAUUAGAUGACAGCCACCUGACUCCAUUCAGCCUGCAUGGUGGUCUGAGGCCUUCCCCCCUACAGCCUCUCCCCUUUAUCUUUCACGGUAAUCACCCCUCAUUACUCGUACUUCUAACUCCAUCUUGAAAGCUGCUUCCUGGAAGAUCCAAACGGACACAAGGAGGGACUGAAGGAUUAGAAUGAGGGAAGUAACCCAUGCACUGCUUAUUUGAGAUGGGGAACCGAAGGACUUUGGCAGUUCCUACACAGAGACAGAUGGCAGAGAUGACAAGGUUUCUCAGAGAAUGCGUGAGUAACUGGAAUGGCUUUUCCUGAUGACCCAGACAGCCUGCUCAAGAGCACACUGUUGCAGCUGCCCUCCUUGGAUGGAACUAUGGAAUGAUUUUUAUUCUUCUACUUCCCAGGUGAAUGGGAAACCAAGGACACAGUCAGCAUUUAACAAAAAGGAAUCUGCAUCUCAGUCAGAACUGUAUUGCAUUUGCUUCUCUCUGGAUUACCUUGAAGUUACUCCCCUUCCCUCAAUAAUAAUGGCAUUAUGAAAAAAAUUGGAAUUGAUCAAAUGAAGUAAAGAGUAAACAGAGGAAAGACUA
rnacentral:lncRNA from 1 species